rnacentral:rRNA from 1 species
GUAGGUGGCAAGCGUUGUCCGGAAUUAUUGGGCGUAAAGCGCGCGCAGGCGGUUCCUUAAGUCUGAUGUGAAAGCCCCCGGCUCAACCGGGGAAGGUCAUUGGAAACUGGGGAACUUGAGUGCAGAAGAGAAGAGCGGAAUUCCACGUGUAGCGGUGAAAUGCGUAGAGAUGUGGAGGAACACCAGUGGCGAAGGCGGCUCUUUGGUCUGUAACUGACGCUGAGGCGCGAAAGCGUGGGGAGCAAACAGGAUUAGAUACCCUGGUAGUCCACGCCGUAAACGAUGAGUGCUAAGUGUUAGAGGGUUUCCGCCCUUUAGUGCUGCAGCUAACGCAUUAAGCACUCCGCCUGGGGAGUACGGCCGCAAGGCUG